rnacentral:tRNA from 1 species
GGGUCGUUAGCUCAGUUGGUAGAGCAGUUGACUUUUAAUCAAUUGGUCGCAGGUUCGAAUCCUCCCGGAUGCACCA